GCCCGGCUAGCUCAGUCGGUAGAGCAUGGGACUGUUCAUGCCAGGGUCAUGGGUUCGAGCCCCAUAUUGGGCG
rnacentral:tRNA from 1 species